rnacentral:rRNA from 1 species
AGAGUUUGAUCAUGGCUCAGGACGAACGCUGGCGGCGUGCUUAACACAUGCAAGUCGAACGGUGACCUGCGGAGCUUGCUCCGCGGCGAUCAGUGGCGAACGGGUGAGUAACACGUGAGUAACCUGCCCCAGACUCUGGAAUAACCCCGGGAAACCGGAGCUAAUACCGGAUACGAGACAGAGAGGCAUCUCUACUGUCUGGAAAGUUUUUCGGUCUGGGAUGGACUCGCGGCCUAUCAGCUUGUUGGUGAGGUAACGGCUCACCAAGGCGACGACGGGUAGCCGGCCUGAGAGGGCGACCGGCCACACUGGGACUGAGACACGGCCCAGACUCCUACGGGAGGCAGCAGUGGGGAAUAUUGCACAAUGGGCGAAAGCCUGAUGCAGCGACGCCGCGUGAGGGAUGACGGCCUUCGGGUUGUAAACCUCUUUCAGCAGGGAAGAAGCGCAAGUGACGGUACCUGCAGAAGAAGCACCGGCUAACUACGUGCCAGCAGCCGCGGUAAUAC